GAAGUGCCUUGGGGCGUGCUAUAAGCCAAUGGCGGUAAUAGCCGCAGCCAAAGUAUUGUUGCAUUCACGUGGCUGCCAUGGCGUGUUGUGUGUCGUGGUGCGUGUGGCAUGAGACCAGUGAUGUGCUACAGGUGAUUCUCUCUGCGAAUCAUUGCCUCACCAGACCACGCGUACGGCGGACACGUAUUGAGUGUUGACCAGAUACUACGUGCUGUUCCGUGUCGCAACUUCGUCGAAUAAUUAUUCCGGCGAGGCAGAUGGAAAUACCUACUGUUUUGUCACACGCUAUUUCGCGCGCCCUCGCGAAAUCCGCAGCAAGUCAACAACGCAAGGUGUGGAAGCAUUGCAACGAAAACGUCCGGGAAAGCACCACGUACCUUCACACGUUCUCUGGAGACCACCUUCCAGGACCUUACGUGUAUGCGCGCCAAGCUCGGGGAGACUUCAGUAAGGCAGGUAUAUAAGCAGGUAAAGGGCCAUCUCUGCAAUCUCCAGUCACCCCUGUCGUGUGCAAGCUGACUUCAUCAUCACUACCCCAUCUGAGCUUGACACUCAAGCUUUUCAGCACUUCCCCUUUCAUUUUGCUAUACCGCUGUCACGGAAUUGGAGGCUGCGAACGGCAAGCUUCGAAGGUGCCGUAAACUUCGUUGCCCUGUGCUUUUCCUGGACCUGGCGGUCUGACCUUUUGAAUCCGCGCCGCAUUGCUGCCGGCCACAUCACCUCAAAGAUUCUACGCAAGCGCUGUUGUUACCACAUGCAGGCCACGGCCACAGCUGGGGCAGUGCCCUUCACUUUGGCAGCAGCGGCGAAGUGCAUCGCAUGCAGCCCGCCGAAUUCUUGUUUUAUCUACCGUCGCAGGCAAAUAUGGAAAGACUGCCUUUCAACUUCGGGACAGCACCUGAGCUCUCUAUUCCUGUACCAUCACAUCGCUAUAUACAAGGAUCACACAAGUGCCACGUCAAGAAUACCGAAUAAAUAUGCCAUUACAUUUCAA